AGUUUGUGUGCAAAGCUGUAUUAAAAACAAACAAAUGAACAAAAACCAACAAGAAAACAAAUAAUAACACUUCUGGAAUUACUCUUAACAACUGCAACUUUGAGUUGUUUGUUAUUUGUGUAGAUUUUUAGAAUUUAUUUGGUUCUUGACCUCGGUGGGUUUCUAUAGCUGUAUGUUUCACCAUGUAAUUACUCAAUGAUUUGACAAACAGUAAUCAAGUACAUUACUUCUCCAAAAAUGUACAGGAUUUUAUGUAGUGCUACAAAGGAGACAACAUUCCAGCUUUUAAAUGUUUUGUCUGAAAAUUCAACACAAAGUAAACAGCCUUCAGCUGACUGCAUCUUUUAGCUUAAGAAAUCAUAUUGGGAUUCCAGUGUUAAUUUGGAACGUCAACAUGUCUUAAGCUUUUGCUUAGUUAGUGUCUUACUCGAGCAUAUUGUUUUUUGGAUUUUCUAAUAAUUCAAAACUAUUUGUUAUUUUCAGCUCUCCUAAUUCUGUGUAUUUUUUUAACCUAUGUAUUUUCACUAUAUUUAGAUAUUUUUACCUAUAUGUGUACCGUAUAUAAAUGAGUAUCAUUUAGUCCAGGAUUUGUUUUACUUCUGUUUAACAGUAGAAGCCUGCACAGAUGGCUGCAAAUCAGAACCUUCAAAUGUAGCCAGAUUUGUACAUUUGUGCUGAUUUCUUGCUUAAGGGAACUCAGUUCAAAAUGCUUUACUGCCAAAUCCAUCCCUGCAGUAAUUCUCUUGGCUUCAGUGGAUGGCCACAUGGGAUUGCCUAGGAUAUCUAGCUAAGCCAAGAGAUUCUGUGCAAUUCAGAGAGGAUUUGUUUGACAAUACAAGAAAAUGAAGUCUAAAGAACAUGCUACCGUGUUGGGUGUUGUAUGAUUCAGCCAUUUUGUUGAGUGGCCAUGAGAGCCACUUUCUGUUCAGGUGACACAAGGAGCAAUUAAAAUUUACCUUUAUGUUGACUCCAGGCAAGAGAAAACUGGGUCUCAUGUAGAUACAGACAAUAGGAGAGUCAGACAGUUGAAGUGGUUUUCUGAGGACUUAGAAAUAAUUUCAGAACUGAGGAAGCGAUCUGAAAGCAGCUGUAAUUCCGUCUGUGUGGCAUCAGAAACGCUGGAAGGAGGACUUUUAGGAUACAGCUGCCUACAGAAAGUCUGGGAGCUAGAGGUAAACAAAUUGCUCCUACUCAUCUAAAUUCCUCUGUGCUCCAUAAAACAGGAUGCUGUAUCCAUUCUUCCUAAGUAAAGGGAUCAUACCAAAUUGCAUCAAUUUAUUUUCCUAGUGGCAUCAACCUUAAAGAUGCAUAAAACUGGCCAACUCAGGGCCAAAAAUAUUUGUUAUUGUUAGAGAAUAUAAUACCACACACAAGAUUGCAACAAAGAAACAGAGCGAUAGCUUAUUUGGCUUUGUUAGUAUUGCUUCUAUAAGGCAGACAAAAUGCUUGUGAAAAUUAAAGUGCCAAAGCUAACUGUUUUAAUAGAACUAUGCAUCUCAUCUGAGUUUUUGAAAGGAAUUAAAAUCAUUAGUUUUGCAUUUUUUAUGUGCUGUUAAAGACAAUGUGAUAGCUAUUACAUUACAGUGAAAACACUUCUGUUCACCUGGAAGUUGGGUUGCUUUUCUAUGGCAAUUUGUAUGCUUUUAAAAUGAUCCCAGAAGAUAAACUCAUUUAUGGUGCAGUAUAAACAAUACAGAAUAACCAGCUGCAAAGCUACGGUCUAGCACUAGAAGAUGCUUACACGCUGUGAAUUGAUUGUUUCAUCACAGUUUGCAAGAAACUACUGUACUUGUAAACUUUGAAUAUGCACCUUAACAGGCAACAAAAGUAGUCAGUCACCUUAUAGCUUCAGCUGGACCCUGUAUCAUUGAGCUCAGUGGGGUUGGAGCUGAGCCGCAGAGGGAAUGCUUCUGAACAUCCUACUCAUAAUUGCAAUGUUUCCUGUUUUCUUUUGCAAGUAAUACUCUAUAGUGUAAAUGCCUCACUGGUAGUGUCACCUAUGACAUUUUGGCCUUUUCAUUCUGCUCCCAUGCUUUCCUCCAGAAACUGGCCAGGCUUCUUGUUGCUGAUGUUUCAGUGCUAUCUUCUUCCUUCCCUGCAGGAGAGCUUGUUGGGUCAGAUAUCCAAACUGGAUCCCUGCAUGUGUAUCAUAUUCGUCUGACCUGCGAGGCCACCCACAGACCCAUGUGCUACGGAUCGUUUCAGCUGUCCCCACAUGAAGUCAGCUGCAGCUGGCCCAAGGCCCGGCUGGAUUUGAUCUGUUUCAGAGGGAAGCAGUGAGGUGUGACUGUGGCACGCUGUUUGUUGCUCUUCACUUCUCUGUUUCACUGUGCAGGUGCCAGACAGUUUUUAUUUAAGCAGACAGUGUGCUUUCUUUGUUAGAAUGGCAAUGUGCUUAGCUCUAAAGUACUUGAAACUAAAACUCACUGGUGCCCUUCUGGUAGCAAAGGUGGUAUAGUAUUGUUUUAAUGUUAUUUGGAUGUAAGGAUUUUGAACAGUCCUAAAUAUCAGGAACCAAACAUUGUGAUUCCUGGAAAAAACACUGCUUCCAGCACAACGUUUGUCUGCCGUGGUUGUCUGUGCUGUAAAGAUUAAUGAAGUUGUUCUGGAUAUACGGGUAAGCAGUAAUAAUAAUUUCUUAGUCACUAAUAAAUUGCUUAAAUAUAAUCAGUGAAGUAUCUCAGUAUAAGUUGCAUUUCUAUGUAGUUUUGUAUGGAUUUUCUAUUUGCCUUUAAUACAUGAUUCCUAUUUUGGAAUAACCACCUAAUGUGCUAAAUGUGAAUUUAGCUAGGCUAAAUUAUACCAAGUAGUGCAGACAGUAAUGAAAAGAGCAGAUAGAAAUAAAUGGACUAAGGCUCUUUAUUGAAGUAAAAUAUGUAGAAUAACUGACUAUCACAAAAGCACUUUAAGGGCUUUCUAUUUUUAAAAGAUACCCUUCCAGUGGUGCAAGAUAUUUUGGACAAAUAAUACUAAAUUAUACAGGGCAAAUAAUGCAGUUGAUUUUUACAUUUUUCUGACUCUUUUACCCUUUUCUGUGCUGUAAUUAUUUUUCAUAUACUCUAACGUUGCUCUAAGAGAAAGAGUUUAUUGCCAUUUUAACAUGCCCCUCGCAACUCAAUUCUUUCUCUGGUGAUUUUUGAUCAAGGAGAAUCAUAAACUUCGAGUACUGAGAAUUUGCUGGGUAAUUUUUUCCAGUACUUCUCCCUCAGAAAGGCAAGGCUUUCCACUUGUUUGAAGGGGAAAAGAGACCUAGACCUAAAAGGACGUUUUUAUUAGUUUCCUGGUCUACUUGUCUAAAUCACAAACAAACUCAGUCCUAUAAAAUUCUAGGAUCAAUCUCAUAGGUUUCCACAAGUGUUUAACCUUAAUUAGGAUAGAUUUUAAUCCUUUUGUAUAAUGUGAUGUCUCAAAUAGCUAAAUGACUUAUUUCUCUUCAAAUCUAUAGUCAGGAGCAAAAUAACCUAUGAAGAAAAGAUCAACAAUGAAAAUCAACAACUGAUGGGCAACACGAUAUGGAUCUUUAAAGAUCAUCUAGAUGAGAAAUGGGGCUUUCUGCAUAUGCUCUUUUCUCACCUAUGUGAAUAAUAAUUACUGUAGGUUUACCACUUCAUAUCCUGAAUUUAAAAAAAGUAGAGUUUUUGGAAUAGACAGUGACGUAAACAAUAAUUGUACAAUUCUGAGUGAGUGGAAAAAGAAAGAGAACAAUAUGUGACUGACCAUUUGUAAGCAAUUUGUCAUAUGUAGUGAUGACCAUCCUCAGUUUGUGUAUGAAAAAGGAAAUAUGUAUAUGUAAGGGAAAUAGAAUUAUGCUGCAAGCUGUUUGACAGAGGAUUAUCUUCUGGUUUUGUGCAUGUCUGGAUUUGAAAAAGUGUAUUUGGGGAAUUCUGAAGAGAGGAAGAAUACACAGAGGAUUGUAGCAGAAGUCAGAGUGGAAGGUACUUCAGAAGCUCAUCUAGUCCAGCCUCCUGCUUAGGUGGGGAAGGAUACUGUUGAAAACAUUUGGAAGGUACUUAUAUACAAAUAGAUAUAUACAUGUAUAUACAUGUUUGUGGUACAGAGUAGUAGAUUUUUGACAUAAUGAUUUUUCUUGUAAAUUCACAAAUUUCAAACCACUGCGCUAACUUAUGUGUGCGUAAAAAAAUCUAUCAAACACAAAAUUGUAUAGACAAAUAUAUUUCUACUCAUACCCUAAUGAAGGUACAUGGAUAUUCAGAUUCUUCUGCCCUAGGUUGAGAACUAGACUUGAAUUACCAUCAGCCUUACUUCUCCCCUUUGCAUGCAU
ensembl:lncRNA